rnacentral:misc_RNA from 1 species
GGCAUGAGAGCUUUGCGUUCUUGCAAACCCAACAAGCUUAAGGUCAAGUUUAGUCACAAUCAUGGCUUCUAAAAUUUUUCCCAUCUUCUCUUUCACUCUCAUUGUCUUCAUUUCUCUUUUUCCUCAUGCAGCUUUGGCAAACUCUGAUAAUAAAAAAUCAUCCCCAUUUGAUUUCCUUAAGCAUCUUCAAGGAUGCCAUAAGGGUGACAAGCUCAAAGGCAUCCAUAAGCUCAAAACCUACCUCGAACAUUUUGGUUACUUGAACUAUAAAAACAAGUCUCAAGCCAAUAAUGAUGAUUUCGACAACCUGCUAGAGUCUGCUCUUAAAACCUACCAGCUCAAUUAUCAUUUGAAGGUCACUGGAACCUUAGAUUCCGAAACGGUGUCCAAGAUGAUAAUGCCUCGAUGUGGGAUGCCGGACAUCAUCAAUGGCACCACUCGGAUGACUUCUGGCAAGAAAAACCAACGCCAUAGCUCUACCUCUUUCCAUAUAGUUUCUCACUAUACAUUCUUUCCGGGAAGUCCCAAAUGGCCACCUUCUAAGUAUAGUCUUACCUAUGGGUUUCUUCCCCAAACCCCAUCCCAAGCCAUGGAUCCUGUUGCGAAAGCUUUCCAAACAUGGGCUGCCAAUACACAUUUCAGGUUCGCGAGGGUACAAGAUUAUACAACCGCCGAUAUCAAAAUAGGGUUUUACAGAGGUAACCAUGGAGAUGGGAGUUCUUUCGAUGGACGUGGUGGAGUUCUGGCUCAUGCUUUUGCACCACAAGAUGGACGAUUCCACUAUGAUGCAGAUGAGACAUGGGUAGUGGGUUCAACCCCAGGUGCACAUGACUUGGAGACUGUUGCCUUGCAUGAGAUAGGGCACCUGCUUGGUCUUGGUCAUAGCUCAGUGGAAGCAGCUAUUAUGUUCGCGAGUAUUUCUUCUGGAUCAACUAAGGGUCUCCAUAGUGAUGAUAUCCAAGGGAUUCGUGCUUUAUAUAACGUUUGACUCUUUUUUUUGCACUAAAUAAGGGUCGGAUAGCCCAUUUCUCUACGUGAUCUUUUCUUCUUAAAAUUUCAGAAAUAUAUGUAUUGUGUCUAUUUUGAAUACUCUUGCUUUAAUCAAUAAUUGGAAUGUUUCUUUUAAGCACUUAAAUAUAAAUUAAAUUAAAAUAAAAUGCAACCUUUUGUUUUCUCUCAAAA